rnacentral:rRNA from 1 species
UACGUAGGGUGCAAGCGUUAAUCGGAAUUACUGGGCGUAAAGCGUGCGCAGGCGGCUUUGUAAGUCAGAUGUGAAAUCCCCGGGCUUAACCUGGGAACUGCAUUUGUGACUGCAUGGCUGGAGUGCGGCAGAGGGGGAUGGAAUUCCGCGUGUAGCAGUGAAAUGCGUAGAUAUCGGAAGGAACAUCAGUGGCGAAAGCGACUUCCUGGUCCAGCAUCGACGUUCAGGCACGAAAGCGUGGGGAGCAAACAGG